GACGCGGUGGCCAUGUGGUUAGCGCUUUUGUUUCACGUGCAACAGGGCUCAGGUUCGAUCCUAGUUGGGGUCA